rnacentral:lncRNA from 1 species
CUGUUAUACAACAUGUUCAUACCUCUACAGCAAAAUUGUUCAGUCAUCAAUAACUCGCAAAUGUUGCUGUUGCUUGAAGACAUUCAGAAUAUUCUUUCAUAAGUUCGGUCCUUCAACGGAUUAUGCGUGUGUCGUAGUCUACUCAUACACAGGAUGAAUACUCACUCGCGAUCGGUCCCUUCAAUGAAGAAAACGAGGAUUUGAACUUGUCAAAUCGUUACUGACUGUGUCACAGUACAUUCCUACUACUGCAAAUCAUUUUGUUUGACUGUUUCAUGCACAGAAUGUUCAUACUUCCACUGCAAAGAGUUGAUUGGUGUAUGGAACAUGUGAGAAAUCCCUUUGACGUACACUAACACAUAAAAGACCACUAUUAAGCAAACGUUGACGGAGAGAUUUUUAAUGAUGCAUUUGGUAAGUUUAUUUUAUUUUAAUUAAUAAAUUCUACAUUGUCACUGCUGUCACACUAUGCAA